AGAUUUGGUCGUAGAGUGCGACCAAGUAAAUCAAAAAAAAGCUCACUGAGA
ncrna:unclassified sequences 6A RNA